CCUACGGGUGGCUGCAGUGGGGAAUAUUGGACAAUGGGCGAAAGCCUGAUCCAGCCAUGCCGCGUGUGUGAAGAAGGCCUUCGGGUUGUAAAGCACUUUCAGUGGGGAAGAAAGCCUUGGGGCUAAUACCCUCGAGGAAGGACAUCACCCACAGAAGAAGCACCGGCUAACUCCGUGCCAGCAGCCGCGGUAAUACGGAGGGUGCGAGCGUUAAUCGGAAUUACUGGGCGUAAAGCGCGCGUAGGCGGUCUGAUAAGCCGGUUGUGAAAGCCCCGGGCUCAACCUGGGAACGGCAUCCGGAACUGUCAGGCUAGAGUGCAGGAGAGGAAGGUAGAAUUCCCGGUGUAGCGGUGAAAUGCGUAGAGAUCGGGAGGAAUACCAGUGGCGAAGGCGGCCUUCUGGACUGGCACUGACGCUGAGGUGCGAAAGCGUGGGUAGCAAACAGGAUUAGAUACCCGAGUAGUC
rnacentral:rRNA from 1 species